rnacentral:rRNA from 1 species
CACUGGUCGAGUCGGCCUGCGCGGAAGAUGUAACGGGGCUAAACCAUGCACCGAAGCUGCGGCAGCGAACGUAUCACUUAAAGCGAUUCAGCGGGUUACGAUUGACGGAGCGAAGCGACGUCAAAGCGUAUACAAAGUCGAGUCGGUUUAAGGAUACGUUCGUUGGGUAGGGGAGCGUUCUGUAAGCCUGUGAAGGUGGCCUGUGAGGGUUGCUGGAGGUAUCAGAAGUGCGAAUGCUGACAUAAGUAACGAUAAAGCGGGUGAAAAGCCCGCUCGCCGGAAGACCAAGGGUUCCUGUCCAACGUUAAUCGGGGCAGGGUGAGUCGACCCCUAAGGCGAGGCCGAAAGGCGUAGUCGAUGGGAAACGGGUUAAUAUUCCCGUACUUGGUGUUACUGCGAAGGGGGGACGGAGAAGGCUAUGUUGGCCGGGCGACGGUUGUCCCGGUUUAAGCGUGUAGGUGUGUGUUCCAGGUAAAUCCGGUUCACUUUAACACUGAGGCGUGAUGACGAGGCACUACGGUGCUGAAGCAACAAAUGCCCUGCUUCCAGGAAAAGCCUCUAAGCAUCAGGUAACAUCAAAUCGUACCCCAAACCGACACAGGUGGUCAGGUAGAGAAUACCAAGGCGCUUGAGAGAACUCGGGUGAAGGAACUAGGCAAAAUGGUGCCGUAACUUCGGGAGAAGGCACGCUGACACGUAGGUGAAGUGAUUUACUCAUGGAGCUGAAGUCAGUCGAAGAUACCAGCUGGCUGCAACUGUUUAUUAAAAACACAGCACUGUGCAAACACGAAAGUGGACGUAUACGGUGUGACGCCUGCCCGGUGCCGGAAGGUUAAUUGAUGGGGUCAGCGCAAGCGAAGCUCCUGAUCGAAGCCCCGGUAAACGGCGGCCGUAACUAUAACGGUCCUAAGGUAGCGAAAUUCCUUGUCGGGUAAGUUCCGACCUGCACGAAUGGCGUAAUGAUGGCCAGGCUGUCUCCACCCGAGACUCAGUGAAAUUGAACUCGCUGUGAAGAUGCAGUGUACCCGCGGCAAGACGGAAAGACCCCGUGAACCUUUACUAUAGCUUGACACUGAACAUUGAGCCUUGAUGUGUAGGAUAGGUGGGAGGCUUUGAAGUGUGGACGCCAGUCUGCAUGGAGCCGACCUUGAAAUACCACCCUUUAAUGUUU